ACAUGACCCUAGAUAGGAAGGUCUGGAAGACGCGAAUUACGGCAGAAGAGUAGGGCCAGAUUGGGUCGCUAGUGUUGGGAAUUACUUGGUGGGGGUUUUUAUUUUUUAUUCCUGUUAUGAUUCCGUAUUCAGUGUUCCAUGCUUAUUACGAAUCUGUGUGCUUUCCUCUGCUUUCCUCUGUUUUAUAUUCCGUAUGGGUGCCGUAUUUAUGUUAUGUCAUCUGCUUCUGUGCUUUACUACGUGUUUGUGUGAUAUCUUGUGCCUGAGCCGGGGGUCUUUCGGAAACAGCCUUUCUACUUCAUCAGAGGUAGAGGUAUGGACUGCGUACAUCUUACCCCCCCCAAACCCCACUAAGUGGGAAUACACUGGGUUUGUUGUUGUUGUUGUUGUAUGUAUGUCUUUUUCUUCCCC
rnacentral:lncRNA from 1 species